rnacentral:rRNA from 1 species
AGAGUUUGAUCAUGGCUCAGAUUGAACGCUGGCGGCAGGCCUAACACAUGCAAGUCGAACGGUAACAGGAAACAGCUUGCUGUUUCGCUGACGAGUGGCGGACGGGUGAGUAAUGUCUGGGAAACUGCCUGAUGGAGGGGGAUAACUACUGGAAACGGUAGCUAAUACCGCAUAACGUCGCAAGACCAAAGAGGGGGACCUUCGGGCCUCUUGCCAUCAGAUGUGCCCAGAUGGGAUUAGCUAGUAGGUGGGGUAACGGCUCACCUAGGCGACGAUCCCUAGCUGGUCUGAGAGGAUGACCAGCCACACUGGAACUGAGACACGGUCCAGACUCCUACGGGAGGCAGCAGUGGGGAAUAUUGCACAAUGGGCGCAAGCCUGAUGCAGCCAUGCCGCGUGUAUGAAGAAGGCCUUCGGGUUGUAAAGUACUUUCAGCGGGGAGGAAGGGAGUAAAGUUAAUACCUUUGCUCAUUGACGUUACCCGCAGAAGAAGCACCGGCUAACUCCGUGCCAGCAGCCGCGGUAAUACGGAGGGUGCAAGCGUUAAUCGGAAUUACUGGGCGUAAAGCGCACGCAGGCGGUUUGUUAAGUCAGAUGUGAAAUCCCCGGGCUCAACCUGGGAACUGCAUCUGAUACUGGCAAGCUUGAGUCUCGUAGAGGGGGGUAGAAUUCCAGGUGUAGCGGUGAAAUGCGUAGAGAUCUGGAGGAAUACCGGUGGCGAAGGCGGCCCCCUGGACGAAGACUGACGCUCAGGUGCGAAAGCGUGGGGAGCAAACAGGAUUAGAUACCCUGGUAGUCCACGCCGUAAACGAUGUCGACUUGGAGGUUGUGCCCUUGAGGCGUGGCUUCCGGAGCUAACGCGUUAAGUCGACCGCCUGGGGAGUACGGCCGCAAGGUUAAAACUCAAAUGAAUUGACGGGGGCCCGCACAAGCGGUGGAGCAUGUGGUUUAAUUCGAUGCAACGCGAAGAACCUUACCUGGUCUUGACAUCCACGGAAGUUUUCAGAGAUGAGAAUGUGCCUUCGGGAACCGUGAGACAGGUGCUGCAUGGCUGUCGUCAGCUCGUGUUGUGAAAUGUUGGGUUAAGUCCCGUAACGAGCGCAACCCUUAUCCUUUGUUGCCAGCGGUCCGGCCGGGAACUCAAAGGAGACUGCCAGUGAUAAACUGGAGGAGGGUGGGGAUGACGUCAAGUCAUCAUGGCCCUUACGACCAGGGCUACACACGUGCUACAAUGGCGCAUACAAAGAGAAGCGACCUCGCGAGAGCAAGCGGACCUCAUAAAGUGCGUCGUAGUCCGGAUUGGAGUCUGCAACUCGACUCCAUGAAGUCGGAAUCGCUAGUAAUCGUGGAUCAGAAUGCCACGGUGAAUACGUUCCCGGGCCUUGUACACACCGCCCGUCACACCAUGGGAGUGGGUUGCAAAAGAAGUAGGUAGCUUAACCUUCGGGAGGGCGCUUACCACUUUGUGAUUCAUGACUGGGGUGAAGUCGUAACAAGGUAACCGUAGGGGAACCUGCGGUUG